UACGUAGGGUGCAAGCGUUAAUCGGAAUUACUGGGCGUAAAGCGUGCGCAGGCGGCUUUGCAAGACAGAUGUGAAAUCCCCGGGCUUAACCUGGGAACUGCAUUUGUGACUGCAUGGCUGGAGUGCGGCAGAGGGGGAUGGAAUUCCGCGUGUAGCAGUGAAAUGCGUAGAUAUGGCGGAGGAACACCGAUGGCGAAGGCAAUCCCCUGGGCCUGCACUGACGCUCAUGCACGAAAGCGUGGGGAGC
rnacentral:rRNA from 1 species